rnacentral:misc_RNA from 1 species
CGCCAAAUAACUGCAUUCAAGAGAAGAACCUAAGUUGAAGAAAUAAAUUAUAUAUAGCACAUAGAAGAUUUAAAGAGAUUAGGAUCCUUUUUAUGAUUUAAAGAGAUCAGGAUCCUUUUUAUGUUUGUGUAAACAUCAUAUCAUGUUAGUCUUUAAACUUAAAAUUAAUAGUUAAAAUUUUCCUCAAAAUUAAAUUGUGAAUUUUAGGAAGAGAUUGGUUACAUAAUAACGUUCAACUAAUGGAUGGGAUAGAAU